rnacentral:lncRNA from 1 species
GAGGAGACAAGGCAAUAGUAGUUGAAAAAGGUGGUGAGGUUGGAGGAAGUGGGGUAGUAGUCGUUGAAGAGGGUGGUGAAGGUGGAGGAGGAUGUGGGGCAGUAGUUGCUGAAGAGGGUGGUGAAGGUGGAGGAGGAAGUGGGACACUAGCUGUUGAAGAGGAUGGUAAAGACGGAGAAGGAAUUAGGGCACUAGAUGUCAAUGGGGGAGAUAGAGAUGGAGGUGGAGGAGGUGGGACACUAGUCAUUGAAAAGGAUGGUGAAGGUAGAAAAGGAAGUGGGGCAAUAGUCGUCAAAGAGGGUGGUGAAGGUGGAGGAAGUAGGGCAUUAGACAUUGAUGAGAGUUGUGGAGGAGGGUCCUUAGACAUUGAUGGGGCUAGUGGAUAUGAAGGAAGUGGGGUGCCAUACACUGAUAAGAGUGAUGGUGUUGGAGGGGGAGGAGGUGGAGGUGGCGGUGG